rnacentral:rRNA from 1 species
GCUAGUAAUCGCGAAUCAGAAUGUCGCGGUGAAUACGUUCCCGGGCCUUGUACACACCGCCCGUCACACCAUGAGAGUCGAUAACACCCGAAGCCUGUGAGCUAACCGCAAGGGGGCAGCAGUCGAAGGUGGGGGUUGAUGAUUGGGGUGAAGUCGUAACAAGGUACC